AGCAGAGUGAUCAUUGCGGAGAGGAGCUACCAGCCUGACACUGGGUGCUAUGUCUGCAUGGCUUGAAAGAUCUUGGAAGAUCAAGGCACAGUGAGCUGUAGAGGCUCUCUUGGCUCACAGUAUGCAUUCAAGGUUGGCGUUGCUGCUAACCAUGCUUGGUGUAAAUUCUCCAGGAGCGAGUCUCUGUCCAAGAAAAGGCAGCUUAUCAUAAAUACUGACUGAACCUGCAGUUCUAGCAAGAAAGUGCUUUCUGGUUAUUCUUCAUCAGCAAGACAUCUACAGACUCUGUUUUCCGCCAUUACGGAUCAGAGGAGGAAGCAGCUGAAAACUAGCAGUGAUGAGUGAAAACAAAAGGGAACAAGAGACACCCUGUGAGGUGGGUGGGGCUGAGAGACUUCAGAGAAGUGUGACUAGCCCAAGGUCACCCAACAGCUGCAUGUGGAGGAGCGGAGACGGGAACCCGGUUCCCAAGUUUACAAGUCUGCCACUCUUAACCACUAAACCACACUGGCUCAGGAAGGAAGGAAGGAAGGAAGGAAGGAAGGAAGGAAGGAAGGAAGGAAGGAGAGAGAUGCCUCAGAAUGAUGUCAAGUCAAUGGUCCAUCCAUAACAAUAUUUUCUUAUCUGUCUGGUUACGCUCUUCCAGAAUCUCAAGUUGAACUGCUUAUUGAAAUCCUUUAAAUAGAGAUAUCAGUAAUUAGAACUGGUAUUUUCU